rnacentral:rRNA from 1 species
CGGCACGGGUGAGUAACACGUAUCCAACCUGCCGUCUACUCUUGGACAGCCUUCUGAAAGGAAGAUUAAUACAAGAUGGCAUCAUGAGUUCACAUGUUCACAUGAUUAAAGGUAUUCCGGUAGACGAUGGGGAUGCGUUCCAUUAGAUAGUGGCGGGGUAACGGCCCACCUAGUCUUCGAUGGAUAGGGGUUCUGAGAGGAAGGUCCCCCACAUUGGAACUGAGACACGGUCCAA